ensembl:lncRNA
AGCCACUGAAGGGUUUUACACAAGGGAGUGAGAUGAUCUGAUUUCAUAUUUUUAGAAGAUCAUUCUGGCCUCUGUGCAGAGGGCAAGAAUAGAAGAAGAUCAGGUUAUCACAGUGGUUCAACAAGAUGACUGCAGCUCGGAGCUAGAGAUGACAAAAGCGGAGGGAUUUAGCAGGUCUUGGGGAAGAGAUGGCAAGACUUGCUGAUGGCGUAUAUGAAGGGAAUGACGGGGACAAGAAGGAUCGAGAGCGACACCUGAAUUAGACUGUAGCAGCUGUGCAGAGUGUGCUGUCACCCACUAAAGUGGUGAAGACCACAGGAGAAACAGAAUCCAGUUUUGUUCAGGUGUUCACCCAGCUCAUGAGACUCAUGGGAAUGAGAAACCGAACUCAUCUCCAGCUCCAGGAGUGGAUGCUCACGUUCUAAACCAAUCAGCACAUGCCAUUCCUCUGAUGACGGCUGUGAAGUAGCCCAGGGGUGGACGCGGGGCCCAAGUUGGGACAGUCAGGUGGAAGGGAAGGACCCAAUUCCAUGGGUGGACUCCCAUUGUUUCUCUCUCCCACUUGACAAGAAAAAGGAAACCUGAUGCCCCAGCUCUUGGCCACAGUUGCAAGACAGAGCUGAUGCAGCAGCUAGCAGUGGAGAGAUGGAAAUAAUCUGGGGCCCUGAUGACAUAGUUAAAUCCCUGAAUUAAUCAGCCUUAAAGCCCAUCUUACUUCUAAAUUUCCUGUUAUUUGAGAUAAUAAAUCUCCCUAUUUUUAAAAAACCAGCUUAAGUCAGGGUUUCUGUGCUUGCAGCAAAAGCAUCCUCAUGGACACAAUUGUUUUUCUGUAUUUACAGUAUAUCAGAAAUCCUCAAACUGGACAAUGCUCACCUCGCCCUCAGAUAAACAUCCUGCCUCAUGGCAGAGCAAAUGCUCGUGUCCAGGAAGCAGGUCUCAGGGCCACUGGGGCUCUGCUGCUCCCACAGUUUCAUUUACCAAGAGGCAGAAGUCCACAAAGAAUUCCAGUCAGCUGUCGCAUGCUUAGAGAAGAGAUCUUGUCUCUUUAAAAUAUUGCCAAAUGAAGCUAGCUGCCGGACCAGGGGCUUCUGUGAAGACACGUCCACUGUUCCCCUUCAGCUCCCUCUUUCACCGCCAACCCACUGCCAUCAAACUCUCCCCUUUCUCCACCAUCAGCACUUGCUUUUACAAAAUUAUCAUUACAAUAACAAGAGGACCUUUCAUUUUAAUAAAAGAUCUGGAAGGAUCUACACUAAAGUGUUAGCUGCUAUUUCUGCGUGAAGAGAUUAUGGAAUUUUUUUCUUAUUAUCAUGUAUGUGAAUAAUUAAUUAUGCAAACUAGUAUUGAUUUGGUGAUAAGAAAAUAAAAGUAAAAGUUUUUUCCCCUCCAAGAAAAAGAAUGCUUCAUCUUUUUAUGAGAAUUUACUCUCUAUAAAGGACUUUUAGUUCCAUUGCAUCAAUGGCACUUCCUAACCACCCUCUGAAUAAAUCAUUUAUUCCCACUUACAGAUGAGACCACCAAGAGGGAGAGAAGGGAAUUGUUUGGCUGCGGGUGACAAAGCUAGUAA